rnacentral:misc_RNA from 1 species
AAACAUGUUAGAAUAUCAUGAUUCAAUUUUUGAUGUUUUAGACUACUUGCAUAUGAUAGAGGAGCUGUAAGUUCAGCCAUGAAAUAAUGCAGUAACUGGACCCAACAGGAAGUCUAAAACAUCGCAGGAUAAGUUAUACUAAGAUUUUGAUUGGGACAAAAUCGCAGGAUAACUCAUCCCGAGAUUGUAGUGUUAUUUUUAUCCCACAUUAAGGGUGGAUAACAAUCCUGGGAUUAGGACAACUUGUCCCCAACCAAACAAGCCCUAAGAUUAUUUUCAGCUAGUAGUCCCCAAUUAAACAAGCGCUAAGAUUAUUUUCAGUAUUAUCUACCAAAACUGAAAAUUUAAAAUACAAUUCAACUUAACUUUAUGUACAGAAUAUACUUGUCUUCAAA